rnacentral:rRNA from 1 species
AUUGAACGCUGGCGGCAGGCCUAACACAUGCAAGUCGAGCGGGGUUUUCGGACCUAGCGGCGGACGGGUGAGUAAUGCGUAGGAAGCUACCCGAUAGAGGGGGAUACCAGUUGGAAACGACUGUUAAUACCGCAUAAUGUCUACGGACCAAAGUGUGGGACCUUCGGGCCACAUGCUAUCGGAUGCGCCUACGUGGGAUUAGCUAGUUGGUGAGGUAAUGGCUCACCAAGGCGACGAUCCCCAGCUGGUUUGAGAGGAUGAUCAGCCACACUGGAACUGAGACACGGUCCAGACUCCUACGGGAGGCAGCAGUGGGGAAUAUUGGACAAUGGGCGCAAGCCUGAUCCAGCCAUGCCGCGUGUGUGAAGAAAGCCUUCGGGUUGUAAAGCACUUUCAGUAGGGAGGAAGCGUUGUGUGUUAAUAGUACACAGCGUUGACGUUACCUACAGAAGAAGCACCGGCUAACUCUGUGCCAGCCGCCGCGGUAACAC